GAUGAACGCUGGCGGCGUGCCUAAUACAUGCAAGUCGAGCGAACAGACGAGGAGCUUGCUCCUUUGAUGUUAGCGGCGGACGGGUGAGUAACACGUGGGUAACCUACCUAUAAGACUGGGAUAACUUCGGGAAACCGGAGCUAAUACCGGAUAAUAUUUUGAACCGCAUGGUUCGAUAGUGAAAGACGGUCUUGCUAUCACUUAUAGAUGGAUCCGCGCCGUAUUAGCUAGUUGGUAAGGUAACGGCUUACCAAGGCAACGAUACAUAGCCGACCUGAGAGGGUGAUCGGCCACACUGGAACUGAGACACGGUCCAGACUCCUACGGGAGGCAGCAGUAGGGAAUCUUCCGCAAUGGGCGAAAGCCUGACGGAGCAACGCCGCGUGAGUGAUGAAGGUCUUCGGAUCGUAAAACUCUGUUAUUAGGGAAGAACAAACGUGUAAGUAACUGUGCACAUCUUGACGGUACCUAAUCAGAAAGCCACGGCUAACUACGUG
rnacentral:rRNA from 1 species